GCCACCUUAGCUCAGUCGGUAGAGCAACUGAUUCGUAAUCAGUAGGUCAGCGGUUCGAUUCCGCUAGGUGGCUCCA
rnacentral:tRNA from 2 species